AGUGAACGCUGGCGGUAGGCCUAACACAUGCAAGUCGAACGGCAGCACAGUAAGAGCUUGCUCUUACGGGUGGCGAGUGGCGGACGGGUGAGGAAUACAUCGGAAUCUACUUUUUCGUGGGGGAUAACGUAGGGAAACUUACGCUAAUACCGCAUACGACCUACCGGUGAAAGCAGGGGAUCUUCGGACCUUGCGCGAUUGAAUGAGCCGAUGUCGGAUUAGCUAGUUGGCGGGGUAAAGGCCCACCAAGUCGACGAUCCGUAGCUGGUCUGAGAGGAUGAUCAGCGACACUGGAACUGAGACACGGUCCAGACGCCUACGGGAGGCAGCAGUGGGGAAUAGUGGACAAUGGGCGCAAGCCUGAUCCAGCCAGACCGCGUGUGUGAAGAAGGCCUUCGGGUUGUAAAGACCUUUUGUUGGGAAAGAAAAGCAGCAGGUUAAGACCCCGCUGUUCUGACGGUACCCAAAGAAUAAGCACCGGCUAACUUCGUG
rnacentral:rRNA from 1 species